rnacentral:rRNA from 1 species
UACGAAGGGGGCUAGCGUUGUUCGGAUUUACUGGGCGUAAAGCGCACGUAGGCGGAUCGUUAAGUCGGGGGUGAAAUCCUGGAGCUCAACUCCAGAACUGCCUUUGAUACUGGCGAUCUCGAGUCCGGGAGAGGUGAGUGGAACUGCGAGUGUAGAGGUGAAAUUCGUAGAUAUUCGCAAGAACACCAGUGGCGAAGGCGGCUCACUGGCCCGGUACUGACGCUGAGGUGCGAAGGCGUGGGGAGCAAACAGGG